UCCUUAAAGAGGUGGGGUUUCAGGUGUCUCCGGAAGGUGGUGAUUGACUCCGCUGUCCUAAGGUUAUAGCCAUUGAUUCUCGAAGAAUAUAACUUUUUAUAAAUGCCUCAUGAUGAGCAUAGUUCAACCCAUCAGAACCAUCCCUCAACGAUUUACCGAAACGGAGGCGGGGUGUUGGCUUUGUUAUUGUUGGUCCCUUUAACCACGGUGUGUUUUUUGUAAGGGGGUCAAUAAAUAUCUACCCUGAGGUGUUAUUGUUGGCCCCUUUAACCACGGUGUGUUUUUUGUAAGGGGGUCAAUAAAUAUCUACUCUGAGGUGUUAUUGUUGGCCCCUUUAACCACGGUGUGUUUUUUGUAAGGGGGUCAAUAAAUAUCUACUCUGAGGUGUUAUUGUUGGCCCCUUUAACCACGGUGUGUUUUUUGUAAGGGGGUCAAUAAAUAUCUACUCUGAGGUGUUAUUGUUGGUCCCUUUAACCACGGUGUGUUUUUUGUAAGGGGGUAAAUAAAUAUCUACUCUGAGGUGUUAUUGUUGGUCCCUUUAACCACGGUGUGUUUUUUGUAAGGGGGUCAAUAAAUAUCUACUCUGAGGUGUUAUUGUUGGCCCCUUUAACCACGGUGUGUUUUUUGUAAGGGGGUAAAUAAAUAUCUACUCUGAGGUGUUAUUGUUGGCCCCUUUAACCACGGUGUGUUUUUUGUAAGGGGGUAAAUAAAUAUCUACUCUGAGGUGUUAUUGUUGGCCCCUUUAACCACGGUGUGUUUUUUGUAAGGGGGUCAAUAAAUAUCUACUCUGAGGUGUUAUUGUUGGCCCCUUUAACCACGGUGUGUUUUUUGUAAGGGGGUAAAUAAAUAUCUACUCUGAGGUGUUAUUGUUGGCCCCUUUAACCACGGUGUGUUUUUUGUAAGGGGGUCAAUAAAUAUCUACUCUGAGGUGUUAUUGUUGGCCCCUUUAACCACGGUGUGUUUUUUGUAAGGGGGUCAAUAAAUAUCUACUCUGAGGUGUUAUUGUUGGCCCCUUUAACCACGGUGUGUUUUUUGUAAGGGGGUCAAUAAAUAUCUACUCUGAGGUGUUAUUGUUGGCCCCUUUAACCACGGUGUGUUUUUUGUAAGGGGGUCAAUAAAUAUCUACUCUGAGGUGUUAUUGUUGGCCCCUUUAACCACGGUGUGUUUUUUGUAAGGGGGUCAAUAAAUAUCUACUCUGAGGUGUUAUUGUUGGUCCCUUUAACCACGGUGUGUUUUUUGUAAGGGGGUAAAUAAAUAUCUACUCUGAGGUGUUAUUGUUGGUCCCUUUAACCACGGUGUGUUUUUUGUAAGGGGGUCAAUAAAUAUCUACUCUGAGGUGUUAUUGUUGGCCCCUUUAACCACGGUGUGUUUUUUGUAAGGGGGUCAAUAAAUAUCUACUCUGAGGUGUUAUUGUUGGUCCCUUUAACCACGGUGUGUUUUUUGUAAGGGGGUAAAUAAAUAUCUACUCUGAGGUGUUAUUGUUGGCCCCUUUAACCACGGUGUGUUUUUUGUAAGGGGGUCAAUAAAUAUCUACUCUGAGGUGUUAUUGUUGGUUACAAAUCUCACCCCUCACUUGUUGCUGCUGUUUCACAGGGAGGUCGAUCGCACCGAAGAAGGUUAAAGUGGUACAGCAACAGCAGUUGAAGAAGGGCCUGGAGGUGGCGAUCAGGAACAAGAUAGAGGAAGAGGUGACUCACCGAGCCAGUACGAAACUCCACAAGAGACUGAGUAUUGUGAAGGGGGCGGAGGUGAAACCAACCCCCUCUAAAGGAAACAACCAUCCCAACCACCCUGCCACCCAGCACCUCCAAAUAAACUCUGUUAUUCUGUCUGUCUGCUCUGACUGCUUUCGCUGUGCUAGAUAGAAGUUAAAUAUGUCUCCCAGAUGGCACACUAUUCCCUAUAUAGUGUUGUACUUAUUGAACAAGGGCCCAUAGGGCUCUGUCUAAAGUAGUGCACUGUAUAGUGAGUAGGGCGGCAUUUGGAACGAAUACAAUGUGUUUGUCACUGCUGCUAGGCUGUAUGGACUGACGUCACAGCUGAGGAGUGUAAUAACCACGUCUCCAAUAGAUGGUGCUGUAGUAGUCAGUUUUGGUGAGUUUUUCUGGUAGACUUGGCUGCUUGCUAUCGCCUCGGAGACAAGGAAAGGAGAUGAGGAACGUGAGGAUGCCAACAGAGGAAUAUUGAGAUGCACCCCAGAUAGUCAACGGUCGACAUUUGGGAUCUCUGUCGUGUGUAUUGAAGGGGCCAUUGAGUAUUUCGUUUUGUGUGAUUCUUGUCUCGUGUUGCACUGUCUUCAGAACUGAGACACACGUUUCUCCCAUAUACUGUAUUCCAAUGCAAAGGAGGUGAAUAAAAACCUGUGGACAUUU